UACAGAGGGUGCGAGCGUUAAUCGGAAUUACUGGGCGUAAAGCGUGCGUAGACGGUUAUUUAAGUCGGGUGUGAAAAGCCCCGGGCUCAACCUGGGAAUUGCAUUCGAGACUGAAUAGCUAGGGUACGGUAGAGGGAAGUGGAAUUUCCGGUGUAGCGGUGAAAUGCGUAGAUAUCGGAAGGAACAUCAGUGGCGAAAGCGACUUCCUGGACCAGUACCGACGUUCAGGCACGAAAGCGUGGGGAGCAA
rnacentral:rRNA from 1 species